rnacentral:rRNA from 1 species
GACGAACGCUGGCGGCGUGCUUAACACAUGCAAGUCGAGCGGUAAGGCCCUUUCGGGGGUACGACGAGCGGCGAACGGGUGAGUAACACGUGGGUGACCUGCCCUCAGCUCUGGGAUAAGCCUGGGAAACCGGGUCUAAUACUGGAUAUGACUCCAUGACGCAUGUUGUGGGGUGGAAAGCCUUGUGCGGCUGAGGAUGGGCCCGCGGCCUAUCAGCUUGUUGGUGGGGUGAUGGCCUACCAAGGCGACGACGGGUAGCCGGCCUGAGAGGGGCGACCGGCCACACUGGGACUGAGACACGGCCCAGA